GGCUGAUUAGCUAGUUGGUGGGGUAAAGGCCUACCAAGGCGACGAUCAGUAGCUGGUNUGAGAGGACGACCAGCCACACUGGGACUGAGACACGGCCCAGACUCCUACGGGAGGCAGCAGUGGGGAAUUUUGGACAAUGGGCGAAAGCCUGAUCCAGCAAUGCCGCGUGUGUGAAGAAGGCCUUCGGGUUGUAAAGCACUUUUGUCCGGAAAGAAAUCCCUGGCUCUAAUACAGUCGGGGGAUGACGGUACCGGAAGAAUAAGCACCGGCUAACUACGUGCCAGCAGCCGCGGUAAUACGUAGGGUGCGAGCGUUAAUCGGAAUUACUGGGCGUAAAGCGUGCGCAGGCGGUCUGUUAAGACAGAUGUGAAAUCCCCGGGCUCAAACUGGG
rnacentral:rRNA from 1 species